UGACAACAGCAUGCUGAGAUUCAUCUGGAAAACUGGAACCUUCUGGUGGAGGCGGAGGGAUCUAAGCUGCACAUGGCAGGCUUGCCUAGACCCCAAGAAGGAAAAGUGAAUUCACUGUUGAUGUAGUGGGUCUAGAACCACUUCACCUAUGUCAUUACCAGUCUGAGAUGAGUCUUGCUCAUGGAGGAGAGCAGAGGCCAAGAGUAUUUCAGAGGAAUGGAGCUAGAGUCACUGGAGCAGACCAUUCCCAAGGCCCACCCUAAUGCAGGACUUCCCAUCAUUUUUUCUCCUAUUGAUGCCAACCGGGGUAUGAGUUGACGACACCCAAUCAAGAUCCGGUAGAAAUUAAGAACACCCAAUAGAGAUACAUUGUCCUUGACACUUUUCAUCCCAUAUUCUCCACACUAAUUGGCUACCGUGUCAUCUUGGUUCUACCUGCUAAGUAAUUAUUCCAUCCCUCUCAUUGGCUUUUGUUUGGACUAUGGAAAUACAUUCCUAAUUAUCUCCUUGCCUCUAAUCAUGUUCCAC
rnacentral:lncRNA from 1 species